rnacentral:rRNA from 1 species
GACGAGGGCGCAAGCGUUGUCCGGAUUUAUUGGGCGUAAAGAGCUCGUAGGCGGCUUGUCGCGUCGUGUGUGAAAUCUCAGGGCUCAACUCUGACAUUGCAUACGAUACGGGCAGGCUUGAGUUCGGUAGGGGAGACUGGAAUUCCUGGUGUAGCGGUGAAAUGCGCAGAUAAUCAGGAGGAACACCGGUGGCGAAGGCGGGUCUCUGGGCCGAUACUGACGCUGAGGAGCGAAAGCGUGGGGAGCGAACAGG